UUUCACACCAUCAUCCAGAAUUAGUAAUGGGUUGACAGUGAGGAAAAAACUACUCCAGAUUAAGAACCAAAAGCAGGCUCAUGCAGCCAGCCUCAGUUUCAGAUGGUUUUACACAUGUCUGCCUCUUUCCACAAGGUGAUACCAUUUCUUUGGACAUUUUUUCAGUAGUUCGAAGGUAAUUGAAUCUGAAGAUUAACAGUGGAGCCGAACAAAAUAAAUUGCAGUUUGGUUUUCUUAAAGAGAGAAAAAAACAUUUUUUAUGGCCACUUUCAAGACAAACAGAAUCCAUAAACUUUUUAAAAACAAACUUGUGAUCUUUCUGUUAUACUGGGGGUUGUUUUUAUUUUAAAGAAAUAUGUGUCGCUUAGCAAUAGGGGAGCCAAAACAAACAAGAAGUCUGAUCCAUAGCGAAAACAACAAGACAACAUCUGUUGCCUGCAACCCAAACAUCUACUUGGUAAAAAGUAAAAAAAAAAGAAGAAAUCAAGGAUUCCCUCUCCACUGCAAUACACAGUGAUCCUACCAAGGUGUUCCCAGGCCAGACAGUAUGGCUUUUGGAAAGUUCCAGGUCUUUCCUGUGGUCUCACUAAAGCAGAACAUAAAAAAGACUGGGCCAACUCCCUACUGCAGACGAAGCAUUAAUCUGUCUAUCCAUCUCAUCAAUCGGUCUAUCCAUCUUCAGGUGGAUAAAGACGAAGAGAGUCAUGGAGGAAUUGAGCCAAUCUCCACCAUUGAGUGGGACUGAGGUGCAGCACAUCCUGCAAGAUCUGCAGUCACAUAAACCUAAAGUCUCCAGACUGUCAAAGUGGUUUAGACUGAGGUGGCCACUCAGGUUGAACUGUUUGGAUUUUCUCACGCUGAUCUGUAAUCUGCUCCACAAUGACCUGCAGACUAUUUAUAGAGCUGUCAGGGCCUGAGUUUAUAUUGGGAUCUGCAGCCGGUCUGUACAGUACUGCACCCUGACAAAGUUUGAACAUUAUCGCCCCCCCGCCUCCCAAACUCCGCCUCUCCCACACACACUCGGACGGCAUCAAGGCUGGAAUGUGAAUUUGUGUGUAUUUUUAGCAUGUUGUCGUCGUCGUGGCAGAAUCAGGAGUAGCAGUUGUUGUUUUCAGCGUCACAUGAAGUUUCCAUCCAACAACAGCUGCUUCAUUUUUUGUGAUGGUUGCUGUAAAGCUCCACCCACACCGACCUCAUCAUCCAGGGUUUAACUGCCGUCUGCUUUACGUUAGAAACAUCAAGCACAACUGCAUCCAACUGCUUUCAAAUCUAAUAAAAAUGUAACAAAAUUGGUC